ensembl:lncRNA
CUCGGAUUGGCAAAAUUGCAAUUGUAUGAAACUGUGCAAAACUUUUAGCUGCACUCACGUUCGACACACGUGAAUCGAAGAGGACUUUGGUUGAUUGCUAAAAGAACCACACACAAUAAUCUCGGCAAAAUCCUGUACGGACUGACCAACGCUCCUGUGGCUCAAUGAGCACAAAUCCCCACAGCCACGCUCCAAAAUCUAGUGGAAAGACUUCACAGAAGCAUGGAGGCUGUUCAGGGAAGACCGAUUCCCUACUAAGGCCCAUGGUUGUAGAAUGGGAUGUUUUUGCUUGCAGUAAUACAGACAGAUAUGACAGAAGUCGACCAAGAAGUUGCUUCAUAUACAAAAUACUUCCGUCUACCUGUCCCUGCCCUGAAUGCUGAUGAGUCAAGCACCUGGCAUUUGUUAUGAACCUGAGCACACACAUACAAAUGAUAGCCAUAAUGUAAAUAAAUACAGCACCUAAAAUAACUGUUAAAAAAGAUUUUUUUUUUUUUAAGUGAAAGAAAUAGUUACCUAACAAAUGAGAGGAACAGCAGUCAGUAGUUACCUGCCAGGUACCUGAGACACAGCAGUCAGUACUUACCUACCAGGUACCCGAGACACAGCGGUCAGUAGUUACCUGACAGUUACCCGAGACACAGAAGUCAGUAAUUACCUGAGCCAAAGCAGUCAGUAGUUACAUGUCAGUUACCCGGGACACCGCAGUCAGUAGUUACCCGAGACACCGCAGUCAGUAGUUACCGAGACACCGCAGUCAGUAGUUACCCGAGACACCGCAGUCAGUAGUUACCCGAGACACCGCAAUCAGUAGUUACCCGAGACACCGGAGUCAGUAGUUACCCGAGACACCGCAUCCAGUAGUUACCUGAGACACAGCAGUCAGUAGUUACC